UUUCACCGCCUUUCUUCACCAGUUAAUUGUUUAGCUCGAGGUUAGGAUUAAACGUGAGCGAUGAGGUGGAAUUGAGAUGACAUACACGUCACACGGAAGCCGUUCGGGAACACUCACCACCCAAAGGCACACGAUACCCCCACUACUUCUUCACUGAAGUCACCGUACACAUCAACGAAUGAUGUUUCCGAACGCAGCCUCGAUGUACUUAUACUAUGACAUAGAGAGACUGGAAGGCUAAUACCUUAAAAAAGAUUGCAAAAGCAUGAGAUUUACAUGAUGGGAACAGAUGGCAGAUCACCAAAAGAUUUGCAGUUAUCUGAAAGGAGAAAAUUUUUCAAGAGAUAUUUCGGAAAGUGGAUUUACGGAUAUGAUUCCAAGUUAUGACAAAACUUCGAAUUUAUUUGCUUGAUCUAAUAUUGAAGAAAAAGAAGAAUGAAGUAUUUUUACUUUAUGCUUAGAACGAUAUAACGAUGGCAUCACAUGAAAUGCAUUCUCCUGUUCAAUAAAAUAAGCAGAAUAUGCAAUUACAAAAAGCGCUCUAUUCAACAAAAUACUUAAAAGAAAUAAAUGUGAAACACACACAGUGUUAUAUAUAUUACACACAA